GGGCGAUUAGCUCAGCGGUAGAGCUUCUCCUUUACACGGAGCGGGUCGGCGGUUCGAAUCCGUCAUCGCCCA
rnacentral:tRNA from 1 species